AAAAGAUACAAAGACAAAGACUCAUAUGGACUUCGGCUACACCAUCAAAGCUUUGAGAUGGAAGAAGAAGCUUGGUUACUGUUUUGGAGUCAAAUAUGACUAAAUGUCAUGUGUAUGAGUGAGUUUAACAACUAGAACCGCAAUUGGAUUUUAAAU
rnacentral:sRNA from 1 species